GACGAACGCUGGCGGCGUGCUUAACACAUGCAAGUCGAACGGAAAGGCCCCUUUGGGGGUACUCGAGUGGCGAACGGGUGAGUAACACGUGAGUAACCUGCCCUUGACUUCGGGAUAACUUCAGGAAACUGGGGCUAAUACCGGAUAGGAAUCCUUGCUGCAUGGUGGGGGUUGGAAAGCUUCGGCGGUUUUGGAUGGACUCGCGGCUUAUCAGCUUGUUGGUGGGGUAGUGGCUUACCAAGGCUUUGACGGGUAGCCGGCCUGAGAGGGCGACCGGCCACAUUGGGACUGAGAUACGGCCCAGACUCCUACGGGAGGCAGCAGUGGGGAAUAUUGCACAAUGGGCGGAAGCCUGAUGCAGCAACGCCGCGGGCGGGAUGACGGCCUUCGGGUUGUAAACCGAUUUCAGCAGGGGCGAAGCUUGUGGUGACGGUACCUGCAGAAGAAGCACCGGCUAACUACGUG
rnacentral:rRNA from 1 species